rnacentral:rRNA from 1 species
ACGGGAGGCAGCAGUGAGGAAUAUUGGUCAAUGGGCGGAAGCCUGAACCAGCCAAGUAGCGUGAAGGAUGACGGCCCUAUGGGUUGUAAACUUCUUUUUCCAGGGGGUAAAGUGAGUCACGUGUGGCUUAUUGCAGGUACCUGGUGAAUAAGGACCGGCUAAUUCCGUGCCAGCAGCCGCGGUAAUACGGAAGGUCCGAGCGUUAUCCGGAUUUAUUGGGUUUAAAGGGAGCGUAGGUGGAAAAGUAAGUCAGCCGUUAAAUCGCGGAGCUCAACUCCGUCCAGCGGUUGAAACUGCAGUUCUUGAGUGCGCAAGAGGCAGGUGGAAUUCGAGGUGUAGCGGUGAAAUGCUUAGAUAUCUCGAAGAACUCCGAUUGCGAAGGCAGCUUGCUGGGGCGCAACUGACACUGAGGCUCGAAGGUGCGGGUAUCAAUCAGGAUUAGAUACCCUGGUA